rnacentral:RNase_P_RNA from 1 species
AGCAGGGCGGGCGAUCGCGGCUGCAGGUCCCGAAAGGGCGCAGACGAGGAAAGUCCGGGCUUCACAGGGCAGGAUGCCGGAUAACGUCCGGUGGAGGUGACUCCCAGGCCAGUGCAACAGAGAUAUACCGCGAAGCAGCGGGCCGGUGCCCGCUGCCCGUAAGGGUGGAAAGGCAGUGUAAGAGACUACCGUCUUCGUGGUAACACGGAGAGCCAUGUAAACCCCAUCCGAAGCAAGACCGAAACGAGGGCUGUGAGCUUGCCCGGCUCGCUCUCAGGUGGGUCGCUUGAGGCCGCCGGCGACGGCGGUCCUAGAUAGAUGAUCGUCCAAGACAUAACCCGGCUUACAGCUCUGCUUA